rnacentral:lncRNA from 1 species
GGAAACAGGCGUGCUUGGUUACAGGGAAAGGAUAACAUCAAAAUGAAGAACUUCUCUUCUGUGAAGGACUGGUUGACAGGUCACUGACAAAGGGAUGGUAUGGAGCUACUCUGAAGUGCUCACGGUGCAACUGAUGACGCUGGUUGUCCUGCUGCGCGAAGCCUCGAUCCACUGCUGCUGUCUCCCUGUGCAUGCCCUUGCCCACCUCUGUGCCCAUCACACCUCUGCCUGGUCCCAGGGCCCAGUCUGCUCUCUGCCUUUGUGAGAGCAACUUCUGCAGAAUUAGAGAUUAUUUCUCCUAACGUAAAGUCUGCUGGUUCCUCCGUGUGGCCACACAUGGUGGGACUUCAUAAUUUUUUAUAGCUGACUCACUAAAGAAGGCCAGG